rnacentral:lncRNA from 1 species
ACAAAGAGUGGGUAAGUUCUCUUUUUAAGGUUGAAAAAGAAGAUUCGAAAUACGACCAAUGCACACCCGGGUUUUCACCAUCGACUAGGUCCACUUGAAACUGCUAGUUCAUUGAGAGAAUAAGUGAACAAUAUGACUUAGGCUUAAGCACAAUCCAAGAUCCAUAACCAAAUCACAGACAUCAGAGGCUUAUUUUAUCACUGGCUUAUUCCUAUGCUUCAGGUACACGGCCGAUGAGGAUUUCUUAAAUGCGGAUGCAGUUUUCGAUUGCAUAGGAGAUCCUCCAGAGGAACGGUUUGACUUGGCAUUUUGCGGUAGCCUUCUUGAGAAACAGUAUGUUAGUUAGCCUACUUCUCUGAUGGUCACCUUUCCUCACCCGCCCCCCCCGCCCCCGGGUGUAUUUCUCUCUUGAUCAUUUAUAAACAUGGUUAAUCCAAUAUUAUAUUUCUUCGAUAUUUCUCUUAUAAUAUAGUAUGACAAGAACAACAUCAAUGUUGAGUCUUGCUUACAUUGAGAAAUUACUUGUGCAUAUGCUUCAUCAAGUGAAAAUUUUAAUGUUAAGCUGAGGUGGACUCUGCUGCGGCGGGUCAAAAAAUCUGGGAUGCGGCCCAAGUGGGACGAUAUGUCAU